CGAUGUCCUUGCGAUAUACUUAGGAAAAGGUUUCCAUGGCAACAGUGGCAGUAAUUCACCACAGAGAAAGCAAAGGAAAUUUAAAUCAGCAAAUGCAGUUCUCCAGCCUCCUUCCUCAUCCACGCCUGAGGCUAUAAAAGCAUGUGUGCAAGAAAUUCUCUUCUGGUAAACAAGAUUCUUGACAUGAAUAGGGCCUAAAAAUGUUAUUAUUAAUGUCUUGUAUAAGCUAACUCGAUAAGAGGGCACUUUGAGAGGAUGCUUUACAUUUAUUUGCUACCAUCUUUUAAUAAUUGUGGGACUUAUGAUGAU